rnacentral:tRNA from 1 species
GCCCCAGUAGCUUAGUCCGGUAGAGCAAUUGAUUCGUAAUCAAUAGACCGAGGGUUCAAAUCCCUUCUGGGGCU